GGAGGAUUAGCUCAGUUGGGAGAGCACUUGCCUUACAAGCAAGGGGUCACUGGUUCGAGCCCAGUAUCCUCCA
rfam:Pontibacillus yanchengensis Y32 contig82, whole genome shotgun sequence.